GCCUGGCUGGCUCAGUCAGUAGAGCAUGUGACUCUUGAUCUUGGGGUUGUGAGUUUGAGUCCCACGAUGGGUG
rnacentral:tRNA from 1 species